rnacentral:lncRNA from 1 species
AAUAUUACACAGUUUCAUCAUAGGUAGCAAGUUUCACAAACUCAAAACAAAAACUAAAGACAAGCACUCCAUCAACCCAAGCUUCCGUGAUCUGAAGCAAAUCUACAAAAUGGCAAAGAAGAAAGUUAGAAGAAGACUAGAAGAAGAAGACUACAAUUGAACAUGUACUGAAGGAGUACUCUAGUAGGAGUGCAUGUACAGGCUCAGUAAACUGCUAUGGUUGUCGAAAGUGUUAGGAAAAAAGUGCUAUGGUGAUGUACUAAACAAUCAACCUAAAAUUAAAUCUCCAUUUAUGCCUUUUAAUGCUCCUUGUGUGCAUUCUUUUGUAAUCUUGAUCAAUUGAUCAAUCUUACACACGGAGCAUCGUACCAUUUGGUCAGUUCAGAUUUAUGCAUUUCCACACUCCAUUUGUACAGACUCCAUUUCAACAAAAAAGGAUAAAUAAAUGCUUCGAGGCGUCCAAAUUAACAUCAGCAUCAGUACUAUCAAUACAUUAACGGCGACACUUUUUUUCUUUCUGAAAUCAAUACUUAAACUUUCGAAGAACAACCUAUAUGUUUUGUUCAAUACACAGAUCAAUAUGUGUUGACAAUUGAAAUGCAGAGACACAAAAUGGCAGAAUCUUACUACACAUAAUGUUAACAUAAUGGCAUAAUCUUACUGCACAUUAUUUUGCUUCAGAGACAAAUGGUUCCAAAAAGAUCAAGAAAAUAAUUUACUAAAUCUGCAUAAAUUAAAAACAUGGACAUGCUGCUUAUGGUCUGCUACUUUCCCCUGACAUAGUUUCAUAUUUGAAGCAUGAAAAUGUACUCCUGUAGGAGCAAGAAGAGCUUACAUAUGAUCCAUAUGGCAAGGGUGACUUGACGCCAUUACGAAGACCUCGCCGUACACCCGCUCGGUGCCGCACAGCCUCCCUGAGAGCAGUGAGAGAGCGAAUGGCAUCAAUUAGUGAGCUCAAAACCAGUUCAGUCAGUAGCAGGGUGGAGCAGUGUAGUGUGACACCACUUGAUAUAUUAGUGGUUUUCAGUAAAAAAAUGUUUGCAGAAUGUCAUCAUGCUGUAGAACUUUGCAAAACUCCCUCAAGUUUCAGUGUAAAAUGUCUGCAGAAUUGAGUUGCAAACAUAUUCCCUCCGCUGCUCCAAACUUUUACAAAUAUUUGGAAGUUUCAAUGUUUGUGGUAACUCACCAAAAAAUGUUCAUCUACAAAUGUUGUCUAUACUCACAAGUUUCAGCCUACAACAGGAUGAAUCAACAACUAAUGCAUCUACAGCAAGAUACUCACAACUUCAUCAACAACAGGAUAGUCACAAGUUCAUCUAGUACAACAUGAUGCAUCUAUAGCAAGAAUGUUCAGCACUAGCUCACCUCACAACUUGUUAACUGAUAUGAAAGCAUAGAUUUCUAACUGAUCAACUGUCCGGCUUAACUAAAAAAGCAUGUUAUCCACUUAGACAAUUGAAAAUGACUAAACCUAGAUUUUCAGCUCACAAGAUUUGGAGAAACAAUGAAGAACUGCUCAUUACUGCACAUUACCCCCAAGAAACAAGGAAGAACUACUCAUUCAGACUUGAACUACUCAUAAUAGACUUGGGGAGCACUUGGGCUAGAAGAAUGAGGCCGAUGAGUGCACCUGGAGGAGGGAGACACGCAUGCCGCAGUAGCCCUGCAGCGGAGGAGCUGCCGUCGUUGGUGAGUCGCUGAAGACGGCAUGGUGCUGCAGCAGCGAAGCCAGCCACAGCUUGGG